AACGCACGAGACCUGCGGACCUGCGGAAGGAUCAUUAUCGAGUUUACAACUCCCAAACCAUUGUGAAUCUUACCUUUUCGUUGCUUCGGCGGGAUCGCCCCGGGCGCUUCGGUGCCCCGGAUUCAGGCGCCCGCCGGGGGACCUAAACUCUUGUAUUAUAGUGGAUUUCUGAGUGGAUUACACAAAUAAUCAAAACUUUCAGCAAUGGAUCUCU
rnacentral:misc_RNA from 1 species